AUACGGAGGGGGCUAGCGUUGUUCGGAAUUACUGGGCGUAAAGCGUACGUAGGCGGACUGAUCAGUUGGGGUGAAAUCCCAGGGCUUAACCCUGGAACUGCCUUCAAUACUGUCAGUCUUGAGAUUGGCAGAGGUGAGUGGAAUUCCUAGUGUAGAGGUGAAAUUCAUAGAUAUUAGGAGGAACACCAGUGGCGAAGGCGGCUCACUGGUCCAAUACUGACGCUGAGGUACGAAAGCGUGGGGAGCAAACAGGAUUAGAAACCCCAGUAGUCC
rnacentral:rRNA from 1 species